GACGAACGCUGGCGGCGUGCUUAACACAUGCAAGUCGAACGGAAAGGCCCUGCUUUUGUGGGGUGCUCGAGUGGCGAACGGGUGAGUAACACGUGAGUAACCUGCCCUUGACUUUGGGAUAACUUCAGGAAACUGGGGCUAAUACCGGAUAGGAGCUCCUGCUGCAUGGUGUGGGUUGGAAAGUUUCGGCGGUUGGGGAUGGACUCGCGGCUUAUCAGUUUGUUGGUGGGGUAGUGGCUUACCAAGGAUUUGACGGGUAGCCGGCCUGGGAGGGUGACCGGCCACAUUGGGACUGGGAUAGGGCCCAGACUCCUACGGGAGGCAGAAGUGGGGAAUAUUGCACACUGGGCGGAAGCCUGAUGCAGCAACGCCGCGUGCGGGAUGACGGCCUUCGGGUUGUAAACCGCUUUCGCCUGUGACGAAGCGUGAGUGACGGUAAUGGGUAAAGAAGCACCGGCUAACUACGUG
rnacentral:rRNA from 1 species